rnacentral:rRNA from 1 species
GACGAACGCUGGCGGCGUGCUUAACACAUGCAAGUCGAACGGAAAGGCCCUGCUUUUGUGGGGUGCUCGAGUGGCGAACGGGUGAGUAACACGUGAGUAACCUGCCCUUGACUUUGGGAUAACUUCAGGAAACUGGGGCUAAUACCGGAUAGGAGCUCCUGCUGCAUGGUGGGGGUUGGAAAGUUUCGGCGGUUGGGGAUGGACUCGCGGCUUAUCAGCUUGUUGGUGGGGUAGUGGCUUACCAAGGCUUUGACGGGUAGCCGGCCUGAGAGGGUGACCGGCCACAUUGGGACUGAGGUACGGCCCAGAAUCCUACGGGAGGCAACAGUGGGGAAUAUUGCACAAUGGGGGGAAGCCUGAUGCAGCAACCCCCCGUGCGGGAAGACCGCCUUUGGGGUGUAAACCGCUUUCGCCUGUGACGAAGCCGGAGUGACGGUAAUGGGUAAAGAAGCCCCGGCUAACUACGUG